UACGUAGGGGGCAAGCGUUAUCCGGAUUUACUGGGUGUAAAGGGAGCGUAGACGGUAAUGCAAGUCUGGAGUGAAAGGCGGGGGCCCAACCCCCGGACUGCUCUGGAAACUGUGAUACUGGAGUGCAGGAGAGGUAAGUGGAAUUCCUAGUGUAGCGGUGAAAUGCGUAGAUAUUAGGAGGAACACCAGUGGCGAAGGCGGCUUACUGGACUGUAACUGACGUUGAGGCACGAAAGUGUGGGGAGCAAACA
rnacentral:rRNA from 1 species